UGUGGGAGCUGGCUUGCCUGCGAUGCAAGCGCCGCGGCCUGGCAGGUACACCGCAGCGAUGCUAUCGCAGGCAAGCCAGCUCCCACA
rnacentral:antisense_RNA from 1 species